CCUACGGGAGGCAGCAGUGGGGAAUAUUGCGCAAUGGGCGAAAGCCUGACGCAGCGACGCCGCGUGAGGGAUGAAGGUCUUCGGAUCGUAAACCUCUGUCAGCAGGGAAGAACGGUCACUGUGCUAAUCAGCAGUGAAUUGACGGUACCUGCAAAGGAAGCACCGGCUAACUCCGUGCCAGCAGCCGCGGUAAUACGGAGGGUGCGAGCGUUAAUCGGAAUUACUGGGCGUAAAGCGCUCGUAUGCGGGAUUUCAAGUUAAGGGGGAAAUCCCCGGGCUCAACGUGGGAACUGCCUUUGAAACUGGGAAACUGGAGUGGGUGAGAGGAUAGUGGAAUUCCAGGUGUAGGAGUGAAAUCCGUAGAUAUCUGGAGGAACAGCGGUGGCGAAGGCGACUAUCUGGCACAUAACUGACGCUGAGGAGCGAAAGCGUGGGUAGCAAACAGGAUUAGAUACCCUUGUAGUC
rnacentral:rRNA from 1 species